AUGUCCGCGCCGAGCGCCGCGGGGCCGCGGGGCUCUCGGCGGUCUGGGUGGGCUCCCUGGCCUCCGUCGGCUCCAGAGACCCCGCGGACUCGCGCGCGCGACUCCCCGGGGCCGCCGCCCUGCCGGGUCGACCAGCUGUCCCGCCCGGACUUGGUCCCCGGCCCGGGGCGCGCGGGCCGACCAGAUGUCCGCGCCGAGCGCCGCGGGGCCGCGGGGCUCUCGGCGGUCUGGGUGGGCUCCCUGGCCUCCGUCGGCUCCAGAGACCCCGCGGACUCGCGCGCGCGACUCCCCGGGGGCCGCCGCCCUGCCGGGUCGACCAGCUGUCCCGCCUGGACUUGGUCCCCGGCCCGGGGCGCGCGGGUCGACCAGAUGUCCGCGCCGAGCGCCGCGGGGCCGCGGGGCUCUCGGCGGUCUGGGUGGGCUCCCUGGCCUCCGUCGGCUCCAGAGACCCCGCGGACUCGCGCGCGCGACUCCCCGGGGGCCGCCGCCCUGCCGGGUCGACCAGCUGUCCCGCCUGGACUUGGUCCCCGGCCCGGGGCGCGCGGGUCGACCAGAUGUCCGCGCCGAGCGCCGAGCGGCGCGGGACCGCGGGGCGCUCGGCCUUCUCGGAGGCUCGAGGGCUCCGGCGACCCGGCGGACGAGCAGCGGCGAGGCCGCCGGGGCCGCCGCCCUGCCGGGUCGACCGGCGACCCGGCCCCCGGGUCUGGUGGCACGCGGGUCGACCAGAUGUCCGCGCCGAGCGCCGCGGGGUCGCGGGGCCACGGGGCGCUCGGGCUUCUCGGAGCCCCGAGGGCUCCCUGGAGCCUGCGGACGAGCAGCGGCGAGGCCCCCGGGGCCGCCGCCCUGCCGGGUCGACCAGCGGCCCGGCCCGGAAUCGGCCCCCGGGUCCCGUGGCGCGCGGGCCGACCAGAUGUCCGCGCCGAGCGCCGCGUGACUGCGGGUCGCUCGGGCUUCUCGCAGUCCCGAGGGUUCCGCGGGCACGUAGCUGCGAGACCCGGGCGGCUGCCCUCCGCCCGGCUCACGGGGGCGGUCGUGUCCAUCAGCUGGUCGUGCGGAAAUCCCGUGGUUGGCCUCCCUCCCUCCCUCCCUCCCUCCCUCCCUCGUCCAGCCGCACGUUUGCGGGGUUCGUGCGACUGGGAUGAAAUAGACCUUCCUUCCAAAGGACAAUCGGAGAUCAUCCAUCAUACCUCUCGAGUCCCCAAAAGCCAAGAAACACGCCAACCAAAACGCUUUUAUUAUGCCAACGGUUCCCGUUUUCAUUCCUAUCGUUUAGGGAGGUUUGGUGGCAGCAGCGGCCGAAAGCAAAAGGAAACCCGAGGAAAGCGGCUCCAUCCACCAGGGCUGUGUCUCAUCCGUGCCGACGCAGGAGGGACGGGCUUCGUUCGUUCGUUCGCUGCGGCCCAAAUUCCCGGGCCGCCCGAGGACCGCUCGCACCGGCCCGAGGGAGGGAGCCCCGGCAGGCAGGACGCCUCCGGUGAAAUGGCCAAGUCGACCGCGCGACCCACAACCCGCCCGACUGGGGGCGAGAAGGCGCAUGGAGGAGGACUCCGUCCCCUAGUCGGCAGACGGCCCUGGGACAGGGACGUUCGCCAAAACCUCCCCAAGGCCGCUUUCCGUGACCGAGUCGGCCUCCCCGCCUGUACUCGUCCCGGCCCGAGAAACGAGACGCGGGGUGGAUCGGGACCAGGCGACGCACCAGGCCGGCCGGCGCUGCAUCCUCCCUCCCCCGACCUGACCUGACCUGGACGAACGCCUCCCCAUCGCCCGCCCCCGCGAGGCUGAUCCGUCCGGCCGAAAGAAGAACGUGGACUUCUUUAGAGGAGUCCUUUGAAUAGCUUCUCCAUUUAGUUAACAUACAUCCAAAUGGAGGUCGGGAAACUUGGGUCCUGUUAACAUAUGGAUGGAAGUGGAAAGAACUAUCGCGAUGACCGUCCUUGUGUUUCUUUUAUUUUUUCUUUCUUCCUUCUCCCCAAAGCCGCCCCCCCCACCCCCGCCCCGCCCCGCCCCGCCCCGUCCCGUCCCGUCCCGUCCAUCCAUAGUUGUAGGUUCCAGUGGUAGGUCUUUCGGGUUUCUGCUAUGUGGGCUUGAAGGGCGAUGCUGGGUCUGGGGCUGCGCCCAGGAUCCGAACCGGUGAAAACCUGGGCCGUCGAAGCCGGGGGUCGGGGUGGGGGCGCGUACUUGACCGCUCGUCCACGGGCUCGGCCCCCGGCCCUUGUUUUCUAGGGAGAGAGACAGAGAGACCCGAUCCAUUUUCUCUUGGCCUCUAAAGCGUGUGUGUGGUCGAAAGGCGACGGAGAGAGGGGUUCUGGUCCAGAAAGCCCCGACCGCGCCGCCGCGGGGAUCGGUCGGUCCCGCCCGAACCGUCCGAGUCGGAAAGGAACGGACAGCUUUCCUCCUUUGGGCCCCUGACUUGGGACCAACAGGGGAAGAGAAACAGGCCUCUCUCCCUCACACCCUGGCCCCUUCCCCCAGGACGCCCUCCUUCUAGUCAGCCCGCCUCUGGCUUUUCCACAC
rnacentral:lncRNA from 1 species